rnacentral:lncRNA from 1 species
AACAAUGAUAACAGUAAAAUUUUUAAUCCCUGUAAUGUAAGGAAUGUUAUUUUUGAUUAAGAGAAUUUCAUUCACAUACAAAAUAAGAAAUAUACUUACAGAACUAUUAAUCCAUUUGUGUUUAUAAGAUUCUUCUUUGUUCUCAACAAAGCCAUGCAUUUUGAUCAUUUAUGAAAAUGCAUAUUCCAACUUUGAAAUAUUUAGCAUUACCAUAGGAGAAAAUAUCUCAUUAUAGUCAAUAUCGUAAUGUUGACGAUAUCCUUAGGCAACC